AAUGGGUCAGCGACUUAUAUUCUGUAGCAAGGUUAACCGAAUAGGGGAGCCGAAGGGAAACCGAGUCUUAACUGGGCGUUAAGUUGCAGGGUAUAGACCCGAAACCCGGUGAUCUAGCCAUGGGCAGGUUGAAGGUUGGGUAACACUAACUGGAGGACCGAACCGACUAAUGUUGAAAAAUUAGCGGAUGACUUGUGGCUGGGGGUGAAAGGCCAAUCAAACCGGGAGAUAGCUGGUUCUCCCCGAAAGCUAUUUAGGUAGCGCCUCGUGAAUUCAUCUCCGGGGGUAGAGCACUGUUUCGGCAAGGGGGUCAUCCCGACUUACCAACCCGAUGCAAACUGCGAAUACCGGAGAAUGUUAUCACGGGAGACACACGGCGGGUGCUAACGUCCGUCGUGAAGAGGGAAACAACCCAGACCGCCAGCUAAGGUCCCAAAGUCAUGGUUAAGUGGGAAACGAUGUGGGAAGGCCCAGACAGCCAGGAUGUUGGCUUAGAAGCAGCCAUCAUUUAAAGAAAGCGUAAUAGCUCACUGGUCGAGUCGGCCUGCGCGGAAGAUGUAACGGGGCUAAACCAUGCACCGAAGCUGCGGCAGCGACGCUGAUGCGUUGUUGGGUAGGGGAGCGUUCUGUAAGCCUGUGAAGGUGUGCUGUGAGGCAUGCUGGAGGUAUCAGAAGUGCGAAUGCUGACAUAAGUAACGAUAAAGCGGGUGAAAAGCCCGCUCGCCGGAAGACCAAGGGUUCCUGUCCAACGUUAAUCGGGGCAGGGUGAGUCGACCCCUAAGGCGAGGCCGAAAGGCGUAGUCGAUGGGAAACAGGUUAAUAUUCCUGUACUUGGUGUUACUGCGAAGGGGGGACGGAGAAGGCUAUGUUGGCCGGGCGACGGUUGUCCCGGUUUAAGCGUGUAGGCUGGUUUUCCAGGCAAAUCCGGAAAAUCAAGGCUGAGGCGUGAUGACGAGGCACUACGGUGCUGAAGCAACAAAUGCCCUGCUUCCAGGAAAAGCCUCUAAGCAUCAGGUAACAUCAAAUCGUACCCCAAACCGACACAGGUGGUCAGGUAGAGAAUACCAAGGCGCUUGAGAGAACUCGGGUGAAGGAACUAGGCAAAAUGGUGCCGUAACUUCGGGAGAAGGCACGCUGAUAUGUAGGUGAAGUCCCUCGCGGAUGGAGCUGAAAUCAGUCGAAGAUACCAGCUGGCUGCAACUGUUUAUUAAAAACACAGCACUGUGCAAACACGAAAGUGGACGUAUACGGUGUGACGCCUGCCCGGUGCCGGAAGGUUAAUUGAUGGGGUCAGCGCAAGCGAAGCUCUUGAUCGAAGCCCCGGUAAACGGCGGCCGUAACUAUAACGGUCCUAAGGUAGCGAAAUUCCUUGUCGGGUAAGUUCCGACCUGCACGAAUGGCGUAAUGAUGGCCAGGCUGUCUCCACCCGAGACUCAGUGAAAUUGAACUCGCUGUGAAGAUGCAGUGUACCCGCGGCAAGACGGAAAGACCCCGUGAACCUUUACUAUAGCUUGACACUGAACAUUGAGCCUUGAUGUGUAGGAUAGGUGGGAGGCUUAGAAGUGUGGACGCCAGUCUGCAUGGAGCCGACCUUGAAAUACCACCCUUUAAUGUUUGAUGUUCUAACGUUGACCCGUAAUCCGGGUUGCGGACAGUGUCUGGUGGGUAGUUUGACUGGGGCGGUCUCCUCCUAAAGAGUAACGGAGGAGCACGAAGGUUGGCUAAUCCUGGUCGGACAUCAGGAGGUUAGUGCAAUGGCAUAAGCCAGCUUGACUGCGAGCGUGACGGCGCGAGCAGGUGCGAAAGCAGGUCAUAGUGAUCCGGUGGUUCUGAAUGGAAGGGCCAUCGCUCAACGGAUAAAAGGUACUCCGGGGAUAACAGGCUGAUACCGCCCAAGAGUUCAUAUCGACGGCGGUGUUUGGCACCUCGAUGUCGGCUCAUCACAUCCUGGGGCUGAAGUAGGUCCCAAGGGUAUGGCUGUUCGCCAUUUAAAGUGGUACGCGAGCUGGGUUUAGAACGUCGUGAGACAGUUCGGUCCCUAUCUGCCGUGGGCGCUGGAGAACUGAGGGGGGCUGCUCCUAGUACGAGAGGACCGGAGUGGACGCAUCACUGGUGUUCGGGUUGUCAUGCCAAUGGCACUGCCCGGUAGCUAAAUGCGGAAGAGAUAAGUGCUGAAAGCAUCUAAGCACGAAACUUGCCCCGAGAUGAGUUCUCCCUGACUCCUUGAGAGUCCUGAAGGAACGUUGAAGACGACGACGUUGAUAGGCCGGGUGUGUAAGCGCAGCGAUGCGUUGAGCUAACCGGUACUAAU
rnacentral:rRNA from 1 species